GAUGAACGCUGGCGGCGUGCCUAAUACAUGCAAGUCGAGCGAACAGACGAGGAGCUUGCUCCUCUGACGUUAGCGGCGGACGGGUGAGUAACACGUGGAUAACCUACCUAUAAGACUGGGAUAACUUCGGGAAACCGGAGCUAAUACCGGAUAAUAUAUUGAACCGCAUGGUUCAAUAGUGAAAGACGGUUUUGCUGUCACUUAUAGAUGGAUCCGCGCCGCAUUAGCUAGUUGGUAAGGUAACGGCUUACCAAGGCAACGAUGCGUAGCCGACCUGAGAGGGUGAUCGGCCACACUGGAACUGAGACACGGUCCAGACUCCUACGGGAGGCAGCAGUAGGGAAUCUUCCGAAAUGGGCGAAAGCCUGACGGAGCAACGCCGCGUGAGUGAGGAAGGUCUUCGGAUCGUAAAACUCUGUUAUUAGGGAAGAACAAAUGUGUAAGUAAAUAUGCACGUCGUGACGGUACCUAAUCAGAAAGCCACGGCUAAAUACGUG
rnacentral:rRNA from 1 species